rnacentral:rRNA from 1 species
GAUGAACGCUGGCGGCGUGCCUAAUACAUGCAAGUCGAGCGAACAGACGAGGAGCUUGCUCCUCUGACGUUAGCGGCGGACGGGUGAGUAACACGUGGAUAACCUACCUAUAAGACUGGGAUAACUUCGGGAAACCGGAGCUAAUACCGGAUAAUAUAUUGAACCGCAUUGUUCAAUAGUGAAAGACGGUUUUGCUGUCACUUAUAGAUGGAUCCGCGCCGCAUUAGCUAGUUGGUAAGGUAACGGCUUACCAAGGCGACGAUGCGUAGCCGACCUGAGAGGGUGAUCGGCCACACUGGAACUGAGACACGGUCCAGACUCCUACGGGAGGCAGCAGUAGGGAAUCUUCCGCAAUGGGCGAAAGCCUGACGGAGCAACGCCGCGUGAGUGAUGAAGGUCUUCGGAUCGUAAAACUCUGUUAUUAGGGAAGAACAAAUGUGUAAGUAACUAUGCACGUCUUGACGGUACCUAAUCAGAAAGCCACGGCUAACUACGUG